GAGGAAGGACAACAUCAGCUGGGAUGUUAGGGCAGCGGCAAGAACACGACAGGUCUGAGAAACUAUGGACAAACUUUGAAGGAAAUACAAAAUAAAGGGGAUGCCAUCUCCUUUGGUCAUUGUACACAGACGUGUCAAAUCAAAAGAAAAAGAGAGGAGGAAAUUACUGCAGGACGUCAGACCGGCAGCGAUAAAGCCGACAUGCUGUCUGAGAACUUUGACUCAUGGGCAAAGGUAUCAGGAAGUCAUUCAUGAGGUCUGACGUGAGUCUUAAAGUAAACACUGUGGCUUAAUUUCACUGGAAAGCUUCUACUUUUGGAUCAGUAAAAAAAAAAAAAAAAAAAAA